GACGAACGCUGGCGGCGUGCUUAACACAUGCAAGUCGAACGCUGAAGCUUGGUGCUUGCACUGGGUGGAUGAGUGGCGAACGGGUGAGUAAUACGUGAGUAACCUGCCCUUGACUCUGGGAUAAGCCUGGGAAACUGGGUCUAAUACUGGAUAUGACAUGCCACUGCAUGGUGGUGUGUGGAAAGGGUUUUACUGGUUUUGGAUGGGCUCACGGCCUAUCAGCUUGUUGGUGGGGUAAUGGCCUACCAAGGCGACGACGGGUAGCCGGCCUGAGGGGGUGAGCGGCCACACUGGGACUGAGACACGGCCCAGACUCCUACGGGAGGCAGCAGUGGGGAAUAUUGCACAAUGGGCGGAAGCCUGAUGCAGCGACGCCGCGUGAGGGAUGACGGCCUUCGGGUUGUAAACCUCUUUCAGCACGGAAGAAGCGAGAGUGACGGUACGUGCAGAAGAAGCGCCGGCUAACUACGUG
rnacentral:rRNA from 1 species